UACGGAGGGGGCUAGCGUUGUUCGGAAUUACUGGGCGUAAGGCGCACGUAGGCGGCUUUGUAAGUUAGAGGUGAAAGCCCGGGGCUCAACUCCGGAAUUGCCUUUAAGACUGCAUCGCUAGAAUUGUGGAGAGGUAAGUGGAAUUCCGAGUGUAGAGGUGAAAUUCGUAGAUAUUCGGAAGAAACACCAGUGGCGAAGGCGGACUUACUGGACACAUAUUGACGCUGAGGUGCGAAAGCGUGGGGAGCAAACAG
rnacentral:rRNA from 1 species